GUGAAUCAUCGAAUCUUUGAACGCAAAUUGCACUUUCUGGUAUUCCGGAAAGUAUGCCUGUUUGAGGGUCAGUUAAAUAAAAAUCGGUGUUGUUGCUGCCUCUCGUGGUGACGCGUCGGAAUUGGGUCGUCUUACCUUUGGUUAAGUUACUUAAAAUUUUGGUAUGAUUUUCGAACGUAUAUAAAUUGUUUACGUACGUUCGAGAUAUCGAAUGCUUAUUAGGUUCGGUCAUGCUCAUGAUUCAUGCCUAUAAUUUUUCAU
rnacentral:misc_RNA from 1 species